rnacentral:rRNA from 1 species
GACGAACGCUGGCGGCGUGCUUAACACAUGCAAGUCGAACGGAAAGGCCCUGCUUUUGUGGGGUGCUCGAGUGGCGAACGGGUGAGUAAAACGUGAGUAAACUGUCCUUGACUUUGGGAUAAAUUCAGGAAAAUGGGGCGAAUAUCGGAUAGGAGAUCCUGAUGCAUGGGGGGGGUUGGAAAGAUUCGGCGGUUGGGGAUGGAAUCGCGGCUUAUCAGCUUGAUGGUGGGGUAGUGGCUUACAAAGGCUUUGACGGGUAGCCGGCCUUAGAGGGUGACCGGCCACAUUGGGACUGAGAUACGGCCCAGACUCCUACGGGAGGCAGCAGUGGGGAAUAUUGCACAAUGGGCGGAAGCCUGAUGCAGCAACGCCGCGUGCGGGAUGACGGCCUUCGGGUUGUAAACCGCUUUCGCCUGUGACGAAGCGUGAGUGACGGUAAUUGGUAAAGAAGCACCGGCUAACUACGUG